rnacentral:rRNA from 1 species
AUUGAACGCUGGCGGCAUGCCUUACACAUGCAAGUCGAACGGUAACAGGUCUACGGAUGCUGACGAGUGGCGAACGGGUGAGUAAUACAUCGGAACGUGCCUAGUAGUGGGGAAUAACUACUCGAAAGAGUGGCUAAUACCGCAUGAUAUCUACGGAUGAAAGCAGGGGAUCGCAACACCUUAGGCUACUAGAGCGGCCGAUGGCAGAUUAGGUAGUUGGUGGGAUAAAAGCUUACCAAGCCGACGAUCUGUAGCUGGUCUGAGAGGACGAUCAGCCACACUGGGACUGAGACACGGCCCAGACUCCUACGGGAGGCAGCAGUGGGGAAUUUUGGACAAUGGGCGAAAGCCUGAUCCAGCAAUGCCGCGUGCAGGAUGAAGGCCUUCGGGUUGUAAACUGCUUUUGUACGGAACGAAAAGCCCCGGGUUAAUACCCUGGGGUCAUGACGGUACCGUAAGAAUAAGCACCGGCUAACUACGUGCCAGCCGCCGCCGUAA